AGGGCCUGGGAGAACCUUAUUAUACCUGCCCCAGCAUGUUGCCUUUUGAGGAGUUUGUUGACGUAUUGGUAAUUUGAAUGUCUGCCUAGCAAUGGAUUCCUUAUUCCCAUGGAUAACAGCUAUUCAGAUACUGACAUUUCUACAGACACCCUACUUGAUAAGAGAUGAAUAUAAAAUCACUCACCCUGAAUCGCCUGUUACUGGAUUCCUUGGAGAAGACGUUACCCUGUCUUGCAAGGUGAUAGCCACGAGUGUCCCUGGGGACAUCACUCUCCACUGGAGACUUGUUUGACCCCAGGAAAAUAUAGAUGUGAGUUCUUAUAACUCAGGAAACAAAGAAGAAAAACAGGAUCAGAGAUAUCAGGGUUGAACGGAGUUCUUUCAACAUGAAAAGGAACAUGUCUCUGAAGCUGAAGAAUGUCCAGGCUUCUGAUGCAGGGAAUUACAUGUGCUGAGUAGUUUCUGAGAACUGGUAUGAUGAAAUGGUGAUUGAACUGGAUGUGAUAGCUAGGGGUGGUGAGUUUUCCAUUUUCCUGGAUGAUUAUG